ensembl:lncRNA
GGGAGAAUGAGAAGAGGAAAUAAACAAGGACACUGAAGAUACUGUAGGAAAGUAGACUUAAGUUUGUGAUCAAAUCUCUGAAUGCAAGAGCACAUCCUGUGUGAGUGGCUUUUCAAAAGAAAGGGUGUGUUUGAUUGCACAUGCUCCGUCUGUCAAGUCGACACCUGUUCGCACACCUUCCAUUUUGAGUGUCAUCACACAACAGGAUUUGUUGACAUCAAGCGCAGUGAGAUGGAGAACUGAAGGGCCUCUAUUUUUGUCUUUGUGCUUCCCGCCCCAAAAUACUACCUUGUCAUUCUACUUCCAGCUCUUAAUACCUGCUGUGUUCAAUAUGCUUUUUUUUUUUUUUUUUUUUAAAGCAUGCAAGCAACUGACUGUCACAAUAAGGUGUUUCAGGCCUGGGACAAUAAAUGGGUUUGAUACAGCUGAAGUGGAUCUUGAUCUUAUGCGAUAGGCAUUUUUAGGCACUUCUGUGUGUAAAUGUAUUUUAUGGUUUUACAAACAAAUCCUGCGGAUAUUCCGCUCAGCUCAACACAUUUUCACAUUACACAGCCGCAGAGAAGGUCUAUUGAGGUUCCACCUUUACCCUGAUCCCUUAAAGCAGCGGUUCUCAAACUGCGAGGUGCGUGGGAGACUUUACUAGUUUUAAAAUCUCAUUUACUUUCUCACAUUUAAAUCUCCUGCAUGAAAACGGAUGAACUUUCCGUGCAGUUCUUCACACAGGUGUCGAGUGCACUUGUUUAAACAAAGAUGUAUCAUUGAUGCACAAGGUUUGAUUGACAGAAGGAACGCUUACCAGUGAAUAAUGGCUUAAAUGCAGUCUCUCACUCAUACAAAUCUAUUAAAAGACUUGGAACAGCACGAGUUGGAUAGACUCCUUUUAUGAAACUUUUAUGUGCUUUCUGGAGCUUGACAGUUACAAUCCUCUCAUCCAUCUCUUUCGUAUUCCAUGGAUGAUUUAUUUUGGGUUUGGGAAUUCAGACAGUGAAAACUGAAAACACAUAUGCAGCAUUGUUGAUUUUGAUGAUAUUUUUCUCAGUAAAGCUGUUUCUAGGAUUCAGCAGAAAGGGACAAAAACCAAAAGAAUGUGACAAGGCAGGACAUGACAGAAACAAAUUUGAGAACCACUGCCUUAAUCCUCAUAAUGCAUUCCCAGGUUCAUUUGGACCUGAAGAAUCUGGUUAUAAGCGGUAGUAACUUAAUAUUUUCAAAAAAAAAAAAACAAAUCUGAUCAGCAACUUCUCACGACUGAGUAGAAAUUGUUUCAAAUUAAGAAGAAGAAGAAGAAGAAGAAGAAGAAGAAGAAAACUAUGGUGUAAAUUAUAUGUGUAUUUUUUCAAUAUUAAAUAGAAAUCAUAUUUCAAUAUAUCAUUGUAUGGAAUUUCUAAGAACAUGGAUUACAGUAUUACAGAAUAUUGCAGAAUUACAGUAUAUUAUGGAAUGAAAGGAAUUUAAUUAAUUGAAUAAUUUAAUUUAAUUAAAACUCCAUAACUCAUGAUUGCUCAAUAAAUAAAUAAAUAAAUAAAUAAAUAAAUAAAUC